CAACAUUUGGCAGGACUUCCCCAGUGCUCAGAUUCCUGGGCCCCAGAGGUGGUUUCAAUCUCACAAAGUUCUGUCAAGGGUGAAAAGCAUGAUGCGAGUAACUGCCAGGCCAUGCCCUCUUGGUAUGGUGAUGGAGACGAGUGACAGCUGGCCCAUCCUUGUCAUCGGAGUCUGCGGAGCAUUGGAAGGGACAGUCACAAUGGGGAGCGGCAGGUCACAAUGGGGGAGGCGCCGCCAGGACGCAGCCGGCCGGGCCUGCACUUUCCCAGGAAGGGCAACCCCGGUGCCUGUCCCCGAGAGCCCAGCAGCCCGGCCCUUGGUCGGAGGAGCAAAGCCGGGAGAGCCGCCGAGGGCGACGCGCUGGAAGCUGGCACUCACCGGUAUUUGUGGAACAUCCACUCACUGUAAGACACCCCAUCCGUGGAGAUAA
rnacentral:lncRNA from 1 species